CAGUGCACGUUGGACAAGAACGCAGGAAGGUGGGAGCGGCGGUGCUCUCUCGGCGUCUCUCCCCUACGGCCACUGCUAGGCGCCACACAGGGUCGCGUCAGAAUUCUUCGCUCACUCGGAUUCUUCAGCCUCUGAGGAGGUUGUCUGUGCGUGCGGCCGGUGUGGCAGUGUGGCAUCGAAGACGAGGCCAAGACCUGCGUCGGGACAACAUGGUAUCGACUGGACGCCACAACAAACACCACCACCCUAACCAUGCCGCAUGCUGCCAUUCCACCAUUCCUUAUGCUGUCUUAAUCCAGCGUGCCUUACCUGGACGGCUGGAUGGCUGGUUUCCUCCCCCAUGACUGCAGCACAUGCAGUUGCCACACAGUUUCGCACCGUCACGCGUACCCUCUGCACAUGCUGGAGGAGGCACCUCAACUGAUGCAUCGCUGAUAACACGCACCCCAAUAUCACAGCUGAUGCACGUGACAACGCACCCAACUUAUUUGUUUUAUCUCCAUAAUAAGCGUUAUCUGGUUUUCCUUUAGAUGUUAUUGUGUAAUUAACUUAGGUACUACUCGAACAUCUUAUAUUAUAAUGUCCGACAAAUUCAACAGUAAAAGUUAGGAAUUAAUAACAAAAAAGUAAAACAUGCUGUUAUAGUUUUCAGUGGCAAAAAUAUAGCUUGUGGAAUGUAUUAUAUCGUAAAUACCGCUCGAAAAAAUAAUCAUCGAAACGUGAACUGAACUAAAGACAUGCAAGGUUUAAUAGGGCAAAACGGCUGGCUAGUGGGCAGUGAUUACUUCACUGUGAAUGCUGGACAAGUAUUGAUUCAACCGAAUCGAGAUAAUCCACAGGAGAUUUCCUUGUCCAUAAGUGCAUGUUGGUCAUCUGGGGGAAGGGAGAGGGUGCAUAACUGGCAUUUACAGAGGGACUGAUUUUUUUUUUUAUUGAAGGAAAAAUCUUUUAGCGGCGUCCUAAGCUCGUGAUGAUAAUAAUUAUAAUGAUAAUAUUGAUAGUAAUAAUAAUAAUAAUAAUAAUAAUAAUAAUAAUAAUAAUAAAAUCUACUGGAUUCUUCCUCUCUCCCUGUCUGUUUAAUGCAUGCUGUCGGUUGAUCUCAGCAUUACUGUUUAUAAAGUCACUCUGCACACUGUACAACCAGCACUUGCUAAGCACUUGAGCCAGCACUGCCCCUAUCACAACAAAAGCUUUCUCAUGCUUACCAAGAGUAAAAGACCAAUUCUGAUUAUAAAGAGGACCACUAUUUUGUUUGCAUAAAUACGUACUACUAUAAUAUAUGAAUAACAAAC